AUGCAAGUCGAGCGGUAGCACARAGAGCUUGCUCUCGGGUGACGAGCGGCGGACGGGUGAGUAAUGUCUGGGAAACUGCCUGAUGGAGGGGGAUAACUACUGGAAACGGUAGCUAAUACCGCAUAAUGUCGCAAGACCAAAGUGGGGGACCUUCGGGCCUCAUGCCAUCAGAUGUGCCCAGAUGGGAUUAGCUAGUAGGUGGGGUAACGGCUCACCUAGGCGACGAUCCCUAGCUGGUCUGAGAGGAUGACCAGCCACACUGGAACUGAGACACGGUCCAGACUCCUACGGGAGGCAGCAGUGGGGAAUAUUGCACAAUGGGCGCAAGCCUGAUGCAGCCAUGCCGCGUGUGUGAAGAAGGCCUUCGGGUUGUAAAGCACUUUCAGCGGGGAGGAAGGCGAUAAGGUUAAUAACCUUGUCGAUUGACGUUACCCGCAGAAGAAGCACCGGCUAACUCCGUGCCAGCAGCCGCGGUAAUACGGAGGGUGCAAGCGUUAAUCGGAAUUACUGGGCGUAAAGCGCACGCAGGCGGUCUGUCAAGUCGGAUGUGAAAUCCCCGGGCUCAACCUGGGAACUGCAUUCGAAACUGGCAGGCUAGAGUCUUGUAGAGGGGGGUAGAAUUCCAGGUGUAGCGGUGAAAUGCGUAGAGAUCUGGAGGAAUACCGGUGGCGAAGGCGGCCCCCUGGACAAAGACUGACGCUCAGGUGCGAAAGCGUGGGGAGCAAACAGGAUUAGAUACCCUGGUAGUCCACGCCGUAAACGAUGUCGAUUUGGAGGUUGUGCCCUUGAGGCGUGGCUUCCGGAGCUAACGCGUUAAAUCGACCGCCUGGGGAGUACGGCCGCAAGGUUAAAACUCAAAUGAAUUGACGGGGGCCCGCACAAGCGGUGGAGCAUGUGGUUUAAUUCGAUGCAACGCGAAGAACCUUACCUGGUCUUGACAUCCACAGAACUUUCCAGAGAUGGAUUGGUGCCUUCGGGAACUGUGAGACAGGUGCUGCAUGGCUGUCGUCAGCUCGUGUUGUGAAAUGUUGGGUUAAGUCCCGCAACGAGCGCAACCCUUAUCCUUUGUUGCCAGCGGUUAGGCCGGGAACUCAAAGGAGACUGCCAGUGAUAAACUGGAGGAAGGUGGGGAUGACGUCAAGUCAUCAUGGCCCUUACGACCAGGGCUACACACGUGCUACAAUGGCAUAUACAAAGAGAAGCGACCUCGCGAGAGCAAGCGGACCUCAUAAAGUAUGUCGUAGUCCGGAUUGGAGUCUGCAACUCGACUCCAUGAAGUCGGAAUCGCUAGUAAUCGUAGAUCAGAAUGCUACGGUGAAUACGUUCCCGGGCCUUGUACACACCGCCCGUCACACCAUGGGAGUGGGUUGCAAAAGAAGUAGGUAGCUUAACCUUCGGGAGGGCGCUUACCACUUUGUGAUUCAUGACUGGGGUGAAGU
rnacentral:rRNA from 1 species